CACGUAGGGGGCGAGCGUUGUCCGGAAUUAUUGGGCGUAAAGAGCUCGUAGGCGGCUCGUCGCGUCGACCGUGAAAACCCGCAGCUUAACUGCGGGCUUGCGGUUGAUACGGGCGGGCUAGAGUUCGGUAGGGGAGACUGGAAUUCCUGGUGUAGCGGUGAAAUGCGCAGAUAUCAGGAGGAACACCGGCGGCGAAGGCGGGUCUCUGGGCCGAUACUGACGCUGAGGAGCGAAAGCGUGGGGAGCGAACAGG
rnacentral:rRNA from 1 species